AGCGAACGCUGGCGGCAGGCCUAACACAUGCAAGUCGAACGAACUCUUCGGAGUUAGUGGCGGACGGGUGAGUAACACGUGGGAACGUGCCUUUAGGUUCGGAAUAACUCAGGGAAACUUGAGCUAAUACCGGAUGUGCCCUUCGGGGGAAAGAUUUAUCGCCUUUAGAGCGGCCCGCGUCUGAUUAGCUAGUUGGUGAGGUAAAGGCUCACCAAGGCGACGAUCAGUAGCUGGUCUGAGAGGAUGAUCAGCCACAUUGGGACUGAGACACGGCCCAAACUCACGCGGGAGGCAGGGGUGGGGAAUCUGGCGCAAGGGGCGAACGCACGACCCACCCAUGCUGUGUGAAUGAUUAAGGUCUUAGGAUGGUAAAAUUCUUUAACGGGGGAGGAGAAGGACGGUACCCAGAGAAGAAGCCCCAGCUAACGUCGUGCCAGCGGCCGGGUUAUAAUCGAACGAAGCACACUUGUAACC
rnacentral:rRNA from 1 species